GGGACAACGCCAACACUGAAAUCUGAGGAACACUUGGCUUGAAAAUCCACUGUACCUGCAGUAUCCAGCCCAGCAGCACUGGAAUAACAGGUAUCGAUCUGGAGGGAUAUUCAACAAAAAUCUUCACACAAUAUGAUCGUUGUAAACUCGUACUGAAUGGAUUGGCAUUGAGAGACUGAGGGGAGUGGGAUGUCGUGACUGAGAUCCAGGAACAACGCCAACUUUGAAAGCUGAGGAACACUCGACUCGAAAAUCCACUGUACCUGCAAUAUCGAGCCCAACAGCAUCUGGAAUAGCAGGUAUCGAUCUGGAGGGAUAUUCAACAAAAAUCUUCACACAACAUGAUCAUUGUAAUCUCGUACUGAACGGAUUGGAAUGAGAGACUGAGGGGAGUGAGAUGUCGUGACUGAGUAAAUGCUCUCGAGGGGAUCCACACUCUGCAAUCUCCCAUGUCUCCUUACUUCAUUGAAGAGCCAGGGAGAAUACGGACUUUGGAAUCUGUGGAACAUUCAACUGAAAAAUCCACUGUCCCUGCAUCAUCAAGCCCAACAUGAUCUGAAAAAGCAGUUAUCAGUCUGGAGGGGAUAUUCUAUAAAAGACCCGGAGACGUCACACGAGGGAUCCGAGGAUCAAUGUAGUUGAGACUCCAAUUGGCGUCCAUCCUUUGUCACAGUCGGAUCAACAGGCUCAGGGCAGUAAAGCCACUAUUCCCAUCUUCUCGGUGCAAUUUAUGGAUUGCAGCGGUUCAAGAAGGUAGCUUACCACCACCUUUUCAAGG